GAACACUACUGAAAUAACGGGAAUUCCUCUAGGCUGCCCGCUGGACUCUCAUAGUUUUCGAGAUUAUUUCCUUUAGAUCAUCGCAGCGGCUGCAGUGAUAUUCGAUCCACAAGCACAGCUGCCUGAUGGCCUCCCUCUUCUCCUCCCCUAGUCCAAGGAUGCCUUCAUCCUUCUCUUUCAUUACCGUCUUCUCUAGCUGAUUCACGGCUUUCGCCAGCUUCUCCUUUUCGCCUUCUUCAU